GGUUAAGUUAGAAAGGGCGCACGGUGGAUGCCUUGACACUAGGAGUCGAUGAAGGACGGGACUAACGCCGAUAUGCUUCGGGGAGCUGUAAGUAAGCUUUGAUCCGAAGAUUUCCGAAUGGGGAAACCCACCAUACGUAAUGGUAUGGUAUCCUUAUCUGAAUACAUAGGGUAAGGAAGACAGACCCAGGGAACUGAAACAUCUAAGUACCUGGAGGAAGAGAAAGCAAAUGCGAUUUCCUGAGUAGCGGCGAGCGAAACGGAACAUAGCCCAAACCAAGAGGCUUGCCUCUUGGGGUUGUAGGACAUUCUAUACGGAGUUACAAAGGAACGAGGUAGACGAAGCGACCUGGAAAGGUCCGUCGUAGAGGGUAACAACCCCGUAGUCGAAACUUCGUUCUCUCUUGAAUGUAUCCUGAGUACGGCGGAACACGUGAAAUUCCGUCGGAAUCUGGGAGGACCAUCUCCCAAGGCUAAAUACUCCCUAGUGAUCGAUAGUGAACCAGUACCGUGAGGGAAAGGUGAAAAGCACCCCGGAAGGGGAGUGAAAGAGAUCCUGAAACCGUGUGCCUACAAAUAGUCAGAGCCCGUUAACGGGUGAUGGCGUGCCUUUUGUAGAAUGAACCGGCGAGUUACGAUCCCGUGCGAGGUUAAGCUGAAGAGGCGGAGCCGCAGCGAAAGCGAGUCUGAAUAGGGCGUUUAGUACGUGGUCGUAGACCCGAAACCAGGUGAUCUACCCAUGUCCAGGGUGAAGUUCAGGUAACACUGAAUGGAGGCCCGAACCCACGCACGUUGAAAAGUGCGGGGAUGAGGUGUGGGUAGCGGAGAAAUUCCAAUCGAACCUGGAGAUAGCUGGUUCUCCCCGAAAUAGCUUUAGGGCUAGCCUUAAGUGUAAGAGUCUUGGAGGUAGAGCACUGAUUGGACUAGGGGUCCUCAUCGGAUUACCGAAUUCAGUCAAACUCCGAAUGCCAAUGACUUAUCCUUAGGAGUCAGACUGCGAGUGAUAAGAUCCGUAGUCAAAAGGGAAACAGCCCAGACCGCCAGCUAAGGUCCCAAAGUGUGUAUUAAGUGGAAAAGGAUGUGGAGUUGCUUAGACAACUAGGAUGUUGGCUUAGAAGCAGCCACCAUUUAAAGAGUGCGUAAUAGCUCACUAGUCGAGUGACUCUGCGCCGAAAAUGUACCGGGGCUAAAUACACCACCGAAGCUGCGGAUUGAUACCGAAUGGUAUCAGUGGUAGGGGAGCGUUCUAAGGACAGUGAAGUCAGACCGGAAGGACUGGUGGAGUGCUUAGAAGUGAGAAUGCCGGUAUGAGUAGCGAAAGACGGGUGAGAAUCCCGUCCACCGAAUGCCUAAGGUUUCCUGAGGAAGGCUCGUCCGCUCAGGGUUAGUCAGGACCUAAGCCGAGGCCGACAGGCGUAGGCGAUGGACAACAGGUUGAUAUUCCUGUACCACCUCUUUAUCGUUUGAGCAAUGGAGGGACGCAGAAGGAUAGAAGAAGCGUGCGAUUGGUUGUGCACGUCCAAGCAGUUAGGCUGAUAAGUAGGCAAAUCCGCUUAUCGUGAAGGCUGAGCUGUGAUGGGAAGCUCCUUAUGGAGCGAAGUCUUUGAUUCCCCGCUGCCAAGAAAAGCUUCUAGCGAGAUAAAAGGUGCCUGUACCGCAAACCGACACAGGUAGGCGAGGAGAGAAUCCUAAGGUGUGCGAGAGAACUCUGGUUAAGGAACUCGGCAAAAUGACCCCGUAACUUCGGGAGAAGGGGUGCUUUCUUAACGGAAAGCCGCAGUGAAUAGGCCCAAGCGACUGUUUAGCAAAAACACAGCUCUCUGCGAAGCCGUAAGGCGAAGUAUAGGGGUGACACCUGCCCGGUGCUGGAAGGUUAAGGAGAGGGGUUAGCGUAAGCGAAGCUCUGAACUGAAGCCCCAGUAAACGGCGGCCGUAACUAUAACGGUCCUAAGGUAGCGAAAUUCCUUGUCGGGUAAGUUCCGACCCGCACGAAAGGUGUAACGAUUUGGGCACUGUCUCAACCAGAGACUCGGUGAAAUUAUAGUACCUGUGAAGAUGCAGGUUACCCGCGACAGGACGGAAAGACCCCGUGGAGCUUUACUGUAGCCUGAUAUUGAAUUUUGGUACAGUUUGUACAGGAUAGGCGGGAGCCUUUGAAACCGGAGCGCUAGCUUCGGUGGAGGCGCUGGUGGGAUACCGCCCUGACUGUAUUGAAAUUCUAACCUACGGGUCUUAUCGACCCGGGAGACAGUGUCAGGUGGGCAGUUUGACUGGGGCGGUCGCCUCCUAAAGUGUAACGGAGGCGCCCAAAGGUUCCCUCAGAAUGGUUGGAAAUCAUUCGUAGAGUGCAAAGGCAUAAGGGAGCUUGACUGCGAGACCUACAAGUCGAGCAGGGACGAAAGUCGGGCUUAGUGAUCCGGUGGUUCCGCAUGGAAGGGCCAUCGCUCAACGGAUAAAAGCUACCCCGGGGAUAACAGGCUUAUCUCCCCCAAGAGUCCACAUCGACGGGGAGGUUUGGCACCUCGAUGUCGGCUCAUCGCAUCCUGGGGCUGUAGUCGGUCCCAAGGGUUGGGCUGUUCGCCCAUUAAAGCGGUACGCGAGCUGGGUUCAGAACGUCGUGAGACAGUUCGGUCCCUAUCCGUCGUGGGCGUAGGAAAUUUGAGAGGAGCUGUCCUUAGUACGAGAGGACCGGGAUGGACGCACCGCUGGUGUACCAGUUGUUCUGCCAAGGGCAUAGCUGGGUAGCUAUGUGCGGAAGGGAUAAGUGCUGAAAGCAUCUAAGCAUGAAGCCCCCCUCAAGAUGAGAUUUCCCAUAGCGUAAGCUAGUAAGAUCCCUGAAAGAUGAUCAGGUUGAUAGGUUCGAGGUGGAAGCAUGGUGACAUGUGGAGCUGACGAAUACUAAUAGAUCGAGGACUUAACCAU
rnacentral:rRNA from 1 species